UACGGAGGGAGCAAGCGUUACUCGGAAUUAUUGGGCGUAAAGGGCUCGUAGGCGGUUUGUCGCGUCGGGAGUGAAAACCAGGUGCUUAACACCUGGCUUGCUUUCGAUACGGGCAGACUAGAGGUAUGCAGGGGAGAACGGAAUUCCUGGUGUAGCGGUGAAAUGCGUAGAUAUCUGGAGGAAUACCGGUGGCGAAGGCGGCAUCCUGGACCGACAUUGACGCUGAGGAGCGAAAGCCAGGGAGCAAACGGG
rnacentral:rRNA from 1 species